CUCAAAGACGCAGAGCUAGCCAUGGGUAUCCUUGCCUUCCUCUCCGUCAUCUCCUUUCUCAAGCCCCGCGCUUCCCACAUUCUCUCUCCUGCGUGUCGCCAAGCCGAACGCUACCCUUCUCAACGCAUCAUCACUGUUGAGCCGCCGCUGCUUCAGUCGAACAACCGCCUCUGCGGUCAAUGACUCCAGGACUUUUUGUGGACCAAUGCGGAGUAUGUAUAGGGUGUUUGAUUGAUCUUUUUGGGUUGAUGUUACUGCUGCUUUUUGCCUUUAUUUUGGCUGUCUGAUGAUUCUUCUGGUGGUUCAUGGGGGAUAUUUUGUUCUGUUUGAUGUUUGGUUCGUUUUUGUACAAGGAAGGGCUCCUUGGUUGUAUGGAUCGUGGCAGCUAUGUCUGUGUGUACUGUCCUGGUUUCUUUGGUUGCUGUGAUAUUUUUUUGGGUCGUUGAAGGAGGUUGUGCUUACCUCCAAGGUUGUUUUUCUUUUGAGGUAUACUUGUGGAGGGGUUGUUGCUGCAGCAACACAUAACUGAGCUCCUCUGUUUUGGGGAUCGUGAGUUCUAUAGAGAUUGGUGGAAUGCAAAAACUGUUGAGAAGUAUUGGAGAAUGUGGAAUAUGCCUGUUCAUAAAUGGAUGGCUUGCCAUAUCUAUUUUCCAUGCUUAAGGAACGGUAUACCCAAGGGAGUUGCCAUUGUUAUUGCCUUCUUGGUUUCUGUUGUAUUCCAUGAGCUCUGCAUUGCUGUUCCUUGCCACAUGUAUAAGUUAUGGGCUUUUAUCGGCAUCAUGUUUCAGGUUUUCUUGGUCUUGAUCACAAAUUAUCUGCAAAAUAAGUUCAUAAGCUCAAUGGUGGGAAAAUAUGAUUUUCUGGUUCAUUUUCAGCAUUCUUGGUCAGCCAAUGUUUGUGCUUCUAUACUACUGAUGAAUCGCAAAGGGAACGCAGAUUAAUCUACUACUUUUUACAACGACCUGGCGCCUGAUGGAACUUGAUCCGGUAGUAGCUGUUGAUUGUUUUUUGCACGGUAACUCAUAUAUACUGUGAGAUAUUUGUUAAUUCCAUCAAUUCACGAGCAGGAAAAAAAAAAAGCUGGAACACAUAGGUUGGAGUCGGGACUAUGAAUUCUUUGACAUACUAAAGAGUUCUUAGCGCAGAACCAUGGAAUGUUAGGUUGAUAAGUCCUGAAGUACUUCAUUCCGUCCUUGCAGAGUGUGCAAACUUGUCUUGUCUGGGUGCCAAAACAGCAUGUAAAGUAGGUGCACUCAGGUGCUAUUCGUCUGAGGUGGAUGAUGCUGCAUUUGAAACAAACAAAGAGAGAGCUUUGUGGGACGCUUUCUUCUUUACUAAAAGCAAAAUUCACCCUGGUAUUGAGGUUGAUGAUUUUAUUGAAAUAUCGUCAGAGCUAGUACAACCCCUUGAGUAUUUUUUUCAAUCAAAUAAUUGUGAUGGUGGAAGAUGGAACAAUUAGAAAGAACAGGCUUUCUUUGCUUUAGAAAAUUGCAGACCUCCCAAAAGGUGUAGCACAUCUCUCAGUUUUGCCUGGAUUCUAAAUUUUGACGGCCAAAAUACUUCCACUUUCUUUGAGUAAACAUCAGGUGGGUUAAAAUAGGGGAAAAUUUUGCGAAUUUAAUGUUUUUGAUGGUGCUUUGUUUAGAAAAAAUAGGUAAAGCUUUGUAAUUUUAUGUUAUUUACAGAUCAAUUUUUUUUAAAAAAAAAACUACAAUCCACUUCAGUCUUCUUAUUCCAUAAAUAGAGAAAAAGGGUUUUGCCAAGUUCAUGGCAUGGUUUUAUACUCCUCAAUUUCCCUUCCUAAUCUUCCUCUUGCUGUUGCUGCCAUGGAAUAGUUUGUCUGAUGAAUUGACCAACCUCA